GAUGAACGCUGGCGGUAUGCUUAACACAUGCAAGUCGAACGGUCUCUUCGGAGAUAGUGGCGGACGGGUGAGUAACGCGUGAGAAUCUGGCUCUAGGUCUGGGACAACCACUGGAAACGGUGGCUAAUACCGGAUGUGCCGAAAGGUGAAAGGUUAACUGCCUGGAGAUGAGCUCGCGUCUGAUUAGCUAGUUGGUAGGGUAAGAGCUUACCAAGGCGACGAUCAGUAGCUGGUCUGAGAGGACGAUCAGCCACACUGGGACUGAGACAC
rnacentral:rRNA from 1 species